AAUUAUUCACAUUUAUCAUUUUACUAGGAAAUUACAAACUAAGCAUUAACUUUGGGUCGUUGACUCGAUAUUCUCUGGAUAUUGCAAUGGAAAGAUAACUUGUUUCUGAUUUCACUCUUGAUUUCUGAAAAUUUUGCCCUCCAAACAAUGGCUACAAAUUGAAUAUAGUUAAGUGAAAAGUAUGACAAAAUGUAUGAUAAAAGUAAUUAAUAAGACAUUAGCAAUGGUCUUGAAAAAUUGGAGUGAAGGAUUUCAAAGGGCGAGAAAGCAGGCAUCACAUUUAGUUUAUUUAUUUUGCAGACUUGAGAAGUUCUCAGUGCUGAUGGUAACAUGAUCAGCUCAAGAGUCAACUGCCAUUUUUCAUCCAGAAAACAACAACAUCUUAUGAGCGCUUCUAAGAAAUCUUCCCCCACGUGAUCAACUUCUAACAGUUAAAGCUGUUGAAAUUUCGGACACUGAAUUACGCCGCCAACUCAAGGCUUUUGGUGAAGACGUCGGCCCUGUAACUAAUACGACGAGGAGCCCUCUUCUUCGAAAGUUAAAGCGGUUGCAGAAUGAACAUAAAAGAAGUGAGCCUCCCCCAAAAAGGAUAGAUUUUGCCCCCUCAUCUUCUGAUCAGGGGGCUCCUCAAAGUGGAACACAAUCCAAAAUAACGACGCGAACUCUUCCAUUUUUGGUUGUUCUUUGGCUCGGUAUUUCCAGCGUCGUUUGCAUCAUCGACGCUUUGUUUGUGCUUUUGCGACCUCAUACACUGCCCGGAGGAAAAUGGAACUACCUUUUCCAACCAUACAACAUUUACAUCCAAGUUGACACAGGAUACAAAGAUCUUAAAGACGCAUUUGUGAUUGGACAAAGCUGGAUGAACCUGGUAGAGGUGCUCCUAAACGUCAUCACUUUAAUGAUGGUGAGUUAGUCAGAACAACAUUUUAAAUUCAGGUGUACUAGACUUUAUACUUUCAAAUGUUAAGUUUCAUUGUUCAGCUACAUUUUUUUUUUUCAUUAAAUUUUUUUUUUUAUUUGCAAUAACACAAGGGAAAACAAUGCUUACUUAUGUAACAAUGCUUACUUAUUUCUAUUUACAUUAUAUUGCUCUCAUUAUUUACACUAUUUAAAUUACAACAUCUAAACGACUUAC